GGCUCAGGAUGAACGCUGGCGGCGUGCUUAACACAUGCAAGUCGAACGAUGAACCUCACUUGUGGGGGGAUUAGUGGCGAACGGGUGAGUAACACGUGAGUAACCUGCCCUUGACUCUGGGAUAAGCCUGGGAAACUGGGUCUAAUACCGGAUAUGACCUUCCAUCGCAUGGUGGUUGGUGGAAAGCUUUUGUGGUUUUGGAUGGACUCGCGGCCUAUCAGCUUGUUGGUGGGGUAAUGGCCUACCAAGGCGACGACGGGUAGCCGGCCUGAGAGGGUGACCGGCCACACUGGGACUGAGACACGGCCCAGACUCCUACGGGAGGCAGCAGUGGGGAAUAUUGCACAAUGGGCGCAAGCCUGAUGCAGCGACGCCGCGUGAGGGAUGACGGCCUUCGGGUUGUAAACCUCUUUCAGUAGGGAAGAAGCGUAAGUGACGGUACCUGCAGAAGAAGCGCCGGCUAACUACGUGCCAGCAGCCGCGGUAAUACGUAGGGCGCAAGCGUUAUCCGGAAUUAUUGGGCGUAAAGAGCUCGUAGGCGGUUUGUCGCGUCUGCCGUGAAAGUCCGGGGCUCAACUCCGGAUCUGCGGUGGGUACGGGCAGACUAGAGUGAUGUAGGGGAGACUGGAAUUCCUGGUGUAGCGGUGAAAUGCGCAGAUAUCAGGAGGAACACCGAUGGCGAAGGCAGGUCUCUGGGCAUUAACUGACGCUGAGAGCGAA
rnacentral:rRNA from 1 species